AAGAAGAUGAAGAAAUACAAUUGAUGUAAGGAAGUCACUUUUCCCUGAAGACCCCUGACCUUAGAACUAGACAGGAACACCAGGGGUUUAUGGUUUCAUCCCAUGUUUAUGAUAGUGACAAUGAAAAAUACUAAAAAGCCAUGACAUGCUCAUCACAUAGUAGCAGCAGGGCUGGUCCUAGAAAACAGGUUCAGUGAGCCCAAGUUCAGUUUGUUCUCCUGUGUUAAGCACACACACACCAUUCCAAUACAAUCCUUUCUUGCUUAAAUUCACAUUCUCUGGGUUUCAGAAAUUAGGGUUUGGUCUGUUAGAGUAACAUGUUCUUUGGACUUUGAAAUUUGGAAGGAGGAUCUCUUAGUAUUCAGUCUUUCUAGCAGAGUGGAAAGGGUCGAUAUCACAGAGGUCAGAACAGGGACCAUGGCUGGAGAGGAGCAGGGACAACAAAUGAGUGUUGGAAGAUGCUCUUCUGAGAGUAAGUGAAACAGUAGGAUUAUGUCAUUGGGUGAAAAGAGUAAAAUAGCUUAGAAAGGAAUAUGAGGUUUACACACCAAUGAUGACUAGCUUUUCUGGUCUGCACUGAAUACAGAAUUCCUUUGAGACAGUGGGAGGCAGGAACUGGGCCAGG